ensembl:misc_RNA Metazoa_SRP Metazoan signal recognition particle RNA
GCUGGGCAUGGUGGUGCAUGUCUGUAAUCCCAGCUACUCAGGAGGCUGAGGCAGGAGAAUCACUUGAACCCGGGAGGCUGAGGUUGCAGUGAGACAAGAUUGCACCACUGCACUCCAGCCUGGGUGACAGAGUGAGACUCCACCUCAA